AUGCUAGAUGAACUUAGUGGAGCCACCGUUUUCUCAAAAAUUGAUCUUAAAAGUGGCUAUUAUCAAAUUCACAUGCAAGAAGGUGAUGAAUGGAAAACUGCUUUUAAAAUAAAAUUUGGCCUCUAUGAAUUUAUGCGAGUCAUGCAUCUUGUUCUUCGAAAAAUCAUUAGCAUUUGUGUCGUUGUCUACUUUGAUGAUAUCCUUGUUUUUAGCAAAUCUCUUAAGGAACAUGUGCACCACCUUAGAGAAGUCUUGCAAGUUUUGCGAAAUGAACAACUAUAUGUGAACAUGGAAAAGUGUACUUUUGGCGUAGACAAGCUUGUUUUCUCGGGAUUUGUUAUCUCCUCUAAGGGUGUUUAG
rnacentral:rRNA from 1 species